rnacentral:lncRNA from 1 species
AGUCCGCCAAUCGGAAAGGGGGCAAAGCAGCUAUUGUCAACCUUCAAAGCAACAUGAACGUGUUGAAGAUGAUGAAAUUUCGACAUAUAGAUCAUCCAUCCCCAUCACGAUGCGCGAUUUCUUUCCUAAAGACUUCUUCAAUCACUCGGUCAAGACUCUUUGCUAUGAAAAUUGCGAGGAACAACUAUCCCGGAUCGUUUGACAAAUUCACAAAUACUCCUUGUUCGCACGAGCCUA